CCAAAGCACAGCGGCGCUUUGACAGUGGCAGCGCCUGCCGGAGCCAGCGAGGAGGGACUGACAAAAUUCUCUUGGCAAACAACACUGAGCAGAUGCAGAUGGAGUGAGAUAUGAGAACUGAUGCCAUGUCACAGUAAAACUUGAGGUUUGAAACCCUUUUGCCCUCUGCCUGCUGUUGCUUUUUAAUUGAGUGAAAGCAGGAUUUCCUUGCCUUUCCCCACUGCUGCAUCUCCUAAACAGAGAGGUGAAAGAAAACUAUGAAGCAAUCAUCCAUAGUCUGAGCAUGUAUAGAACACGGAGACUCCACUGCUGUGCUUAAGGCCAGUUGGCAAUCGCUGUCCAGAGGGAAUGGAGGGGUUUGGGAUGGAAUUCUGUUUAAAAAGCCAGCUCUGCUCUGCUCUGCUCUGCCCUGCUCCUCCCAGGGAGAGGAGGGACCUCAGCCUACACCACAGCCUUUGGCUGCAGCAUCAUCUGUAAAGAUACAUGAGGCAGGGUUAGGAGGAAGGCUAUGUUUUGCAAAGCAUUUAAAUGUCCUAAAUUUCAGUUCCUUCCUAAGGAACACUCAGGGGUUGUGCAGAGCUCUCUGGUUGCUCUGAAAGGGCCCUGCAAUCCAGGGUUGUCCAUGGUUGUAAAUCCACUGUGUCCCAGGUGGGCUGUGCCAGGGAAACUGCACCUGGAGACACAGCAUCCCAGGAAAUGUGGUGUGUGGCUUGUUAGGAAACACUCUGAGGUCCUCAGGCUUUAAAAUGCAGGAGAGGGAUUUCCUGGGUGAAUUUUAGCUUCUUCCCACUGUGUGUUUAGAGAACUCACCUUCCAUGCCCAAGGGGUGAGUGAUGAUCCAGACCAACAUUUGGCAAGGCUGCUUCCGACCCAGACUGAAGUUCUUCUCUUGAGUCACAAACAGAAGCCAGCAUUAUGUGCUUCUACAGCCACGAAACAACAUUUGAAUCCCAAAAAAACAUCCCCCUCAGUAUCACUACUGUCUGGCAAACAGUGAGACAAUGCCCUCCAUAGCUGUAGGAGAGAGAAUCAGAAGAAGGGUGGAACUCCAGUGGGGGAAAAAAAGAAGCAGUGACAGAAAUACAGCAAAGCAGGACAGGGUGGCUGGCAGGGAAGAGUCCUAAUUCAGUAACCAGAAUAUGAACUUAUUUCCAUUGAUUGCUGAACAGUGUGGUAAGUAAUGUGCUCUUGCUUGCUUUUGAGAUUCAGAAAUUAAGCCUAUUUAUUUAAGAUUUAAACUAAUUAUAGUUGCAUAAUUGUGCAAUGUAUGGAAACAGAAUCUCUCCUAAAGAGCUGGUGGGGAAAUAGAAGUUUAAUUUGAGCCCACAUUAGCUAUUAUUGGAAUUUCAGUAGAAUAGAGACUGGUCUGAAAGUAUAGAAAUGGUUUGGUUUAUCCCAGUCUCUUAAAGUAGUAUUAUGAAUAUGAAUACUUUUAUGUAAUCAAGCCAGCUGUAUCCUGGGAAGGUGAAAGACUGGGUGUAUUAAAGCCAAAUACAAAAGCCCAUGUUCUUCUGGGGAUGGUGGUUCUGACACUGCAGGGCCAAGGUCAGGAGCUCUGCAAGCUGAGACACAAUAACCUGUCAAGAUUUACUGGUAUUAAUUAGGGCUUGCAAACAAAUAUUAUAAUAUGCACAUAAUUCCUUCAUUCUGUUCUGCUAAUUCUUGUUCUGCUAAUUCACUGUUAUAAUAAGCAUGCUAAAAAUAAUACUAUUUUUAAGGUCAAUGAAGAAUCAAACCUUGUAUUUAUUUCUUGAGAAGAAGCCAGGAAUUUUGUUUAUGGAACCCAGGAAUCUCUGUUUAUGGAAUUUAUGCUGCUUUUCUGUUUGGAAGGAGGGAUGGUGUAAAAGAGAUUCUCACAACACAAACAGGAGUGGGGGAUGUUUUUAGAUUGUCUUGUAAUUCUCGGGAGGAGUGAGAAGUAAAAUUAUCCACCUUAGAGAGAAAACACUUGCAGCAAGGAAAUUCUGGUUCAAGCCUUAACUGCGAGGCAGCUGAGAGCAGCUUUUGCAGGCAGAGGAAUGCCACGUGACUGUGGUGAUACAAAUUUUAUUUCAGGAGCACUUAAGAAGCAUAUGCUAAUGUUUUGUAAGGGAGGAUGGUUUUGGAAUGUCCUUUGAAAUGAGAAUCUCUGCCAUUAUUUAAAUAGAACGUGUGUUUGCAGCGUGCCUUAAUUUAUGUCUUGUCAAGGGCAGAUGAGACAAUUCUUGUCUGUCGACAUGAGAUACAGGUGCCUGGAAAGAAAUGCAAGGAAAUCCAGCACUGAGUGCUUUGGUGUGGCUCUGUGGCACCUUUGCCCUGCAUCCUCACCCAUCUGGAGCAUCCUGCUGCCCAGAACAUGCACCUGCCCCAGAGGCUCUCACACACCCAGGGCGCAGUGCUCCUUUGCAGAAUAAACCCAAACACACCCUCCAUGCUGAGGCUCCAACCAGUACAGAGGUGUUCUGCUGUUCCUUCAUGCAAGAGGAGCUUGUGUGAAUUCGUGCUUCCAGAUCCUGAUUGUUCAAGAGGCAGAAUUAAAAGAGCAGGACAGCUUCUGCUGGUUCAGCUCUGCUUCUCUCAGGAGACCUUUGGAGCUGCUCCUCACAAUUCAGUUGCCAGCUUUGGAGGGUGGGCCCUUCUAUAAAUGAAGUUGUAGCUCGAGACAUCAAGAAUGUACGUGGGAGUGGAGCAGCAAAGCUGAGGGAAGUAUUUCUGUCAUUUAGGAGUAUGAGAAAGCACCUUUAGGUUGUUUUGAACUGGGAUUUCUCUUCUGAGAAUGCCUGGAAAAAGUGAGGAGCUGAGUUAGAGCAGAAGCAAUGUAUAUGACAUCAAUAUUACACCAGGAGGGGGAAACGCUCAGUGUGGAUGUACUGGGGCACAUAUUGAGGAAAAAUAUUUACUGGGGGAGCAGAAAAAGAAACAACCCUUAUGAUCCAGGCUUUCUCAUGGUUCCUGUGAGUCAGCUGUCCACACAGAUAUACAGAGAAUUCCUGUUCCUUAAAAUAUGGGACUUUUUCUGCUACUGGCUCCGUUUAUAAUCUGGAUACGUGGCUGGAAAUCUAAAACCAAGCCCCAAAAGCCCCAGACUCUGCCAACACUUUACACAGUAUGGUGGAAAAAAUUUGAAGUGAAACAAAGCCCUUGGGUUACAUUUCUUUAGAAUUCCUCAGGUUUUGUUGUUUUCUUCAGAAGGUGCAUUCUUGGAUGCAGACAGGUUCAAGACUUCAAAUUUCUAACAGAAUAUCAACAAAAAUUUAAGAUGGGUAUUGAAAUAACCUGAUUUAUUUUCCUAGUGAUGGUACUGUUGGCAUCUGGCACAGUUUUUUGUAUUGUAGAAUUAUUGUCAGAUGGUCUUUUUUUAAGGGCUUUAUAAACAGUAGGAUGAACUAAACCAGAAUUUACCAGUGAAAUCAUAUGGAUUUCAGGGUGAGUAUUCCAGAGGGGAGAAGAUUAGAGCCUGACAUCUAUGAGGAGACUUAACAGCAAAUGUAAUAUGAGACAGAGGCUGAGGAGGGAAGGUGAUAGGGGGAAAAGGACAAAAUUGUUUUAUGCUGUUCAGCUGCCCUUUUUAUUCAGCAGCAGUUGAUAUUCGUGUGUAAUUAUAGGGUAAAAACAGUCUCUAUUUUAAUGACAUUUUAGAAAAUAAAAGCUCAAGUUGGAAUAGCCAAUUGGACACUUGUCCAUGAAGCUGAACCAGCCAAAACUAUGUGAUGCUUUAAACACUAUUGGUUGUUUAUGCUGGACCCUAAAAUUGCAAAAUUAUUUGUAUUUGCAACCUCAUCAGAUUGACUGAAAAACUUCCAGUGAUCUUCCCUCUUCAGCUGUGGACAAUACCUUAACUGCAGGGAUGAUGCCAUGUGAGGUAUUGUUAAAUAAACCUAAUUUUUUAUUCAUAAUUUUACACUUUCAUACAGCAAUUAUUUUCCUUUCCUCUUCAUCUUCCCACAUUUAUACAGAUCAUGAGAAAGAUAUCCUUAUGAAAUUAUAUUUAACAAUUGAGCUCUUAACACAUUUCUGUCAAGGCUCUGAGCAUAUUGAUGGUGACCCCCUUAUUUAACAGUGAUUAUAAUUGAUUUCUCACUACUCUUAAUGCCAGGCAAUGAUUAGAGAAUGAGCUAUGGCCAACUCUCUCGUGGUGAGAUUUUUUUAUCAGGCAGUACAAGAUUGGAGUAGAACUGGAAGAGUAUUUUAUGGUAUGAAAGCAUUUAUGACUAUUAAAAAAAAAGUAAAAUGUGCUCAUUUUAAAUGAGUCUACUGACAAAACAUUUAGCAAUGAAUGCUACUGUUUGUGUUAUUGUAUCAGCUUUAAAUGCCAAGCCAGAUUAUCAGUACAGAACUUGCAGUCUGGCUCCUUUUGGCACUGGAUAUUUGAUAUUACUUUACAUUUUCCUUACCCUCAACAAGUCCACUCUUGAUCCUGAUCAGAUGCUCUCUUUUCCAAAGGGAGAAGAGGAAUGGGAAUGACAGAACAAUUGGGUUUAACUCUGCUGGGACUUCUCCUUGAGGCUUUCACAGGAAUCAUCAGAAUUGCACACUGACGUGUGCACAUAUUUACAUCUGACAUUUGUACAUAUUUACAUUUAACAUUUGUACAUAUUUGCAUCCUGACAUUUGUACAUAUUUACAUCCUGACAUUCCCCCUGCAGGGGUGGUGGAGACUGGCAAGGUAACAGGAUCUUCAUCACUGGGCAUGGCCUGGGAGGAAGGAAUAUCUCUGGAUGAGGAGCUUUAGGAGGAAUGCCCCCAGCCCUGUGGGGAUCCUUGAGCUCUGUGCAGAACCAGCAGUGGGGGUUGCUUUGCUCUUCUCCUCAGGCUUCACAGGGUAUGUGCACAGUUCUUCUCCCCCUGGAGAGCAAAACUCCUGCAGGAGCUGGGAGUUCCUCCAGCCUGACUAUACCAGGGUCAGUUCUGGAAGUGUAGAGCAGACUGCAGCACCUGACUUCAUAAAUGAGCAAUCAAACAUUUGCAGAAUAUAAAAAAAAUGUAGAGGAAAUCCAGAGCAGCAGGAAAAACCACAGAAUGGUGACCUCUUGUCCUGCCCCAUCACCUUCCACCUUCCCCAAUUCAUCUUCUCAGUGUUUCUUUACUUUUUAUUGUUUUUCUCUUUUUUUUAUUAUUUUUCUGCAUGCCCCAGCUUGGCUAAAUCUAGUUUUAUUCUCAUUCCAGCUCUGCCCUGUGCAGUCUGUUGCUGAUUGCCAUUUCUUCCAGAUAGUUCUCAAUAUUCAGAUCCCACCUACCCACAGCAAGAUCUACUUUACAUGGUUACUUACAGCAGACUUUCAUUUGUAAACAAUGAAUGACUUUCAUUUGUAUACAAAAUUUAAUUGCUUUUCUUGCUUCCUGUGUUGCCUGUGCUAUCUUUUUAGCCUAAUGCCACACUACAUCUGACAACAUAAAUGAGAAGGAAUGGCAUAAAAUUUGAGGCUUUUGUUCAAAAUAUCAUGUGGAUUUGUGAAACUUUGAUGUAAGUUUUCUUCUAUGACUUAAAGUCUUAAGAAAUAGCAAUAUAAUUGUGUUUCCCAGCUUUUUAAAGGAAGGUGAGUGUGGGGAGAGUGCUGUGACACAGAGAAAAAACCCAACAUUUAGUCAUUAAAAAUCCUCUGGCAGCAUGGUAUGAAAUCAGAAAGUUGGGUUUUUUCAUGUUCACUUCCCCACUUUGCUUUUUGGCAGAAAUGAGGAAAGCUGUGCUCCCUGAACUGCUGACCUCAGUGGGACCAAAGCUGUGCUGGGGACCCCCAGGUUGAGAAGAGCGGGUCCUGACAUUGAUAUUUAUAUUUUUUUCCUCAGAGCUUGUUUGGUUUUGGUGUCCAAGGCGUCCCCUGGGGCGGUGCCAGUCCCGCUGUGCCAACCUCGGUGGGGAGGGGACACAGAGGGGACAAGAGCUGUCUGUCAGAGCUGGAUGGGUCUAACCCAGGUGUGGAACAUCCUGGGAGCCCUGCUGUGCUCCCAUCCCAAACCAGCAUGCUGAGGAGCUCUGCCUGCUCAGAUCUCCUGCAGUCUGGCUGCUGCAAGCCAGCCCUGCCCAAAGACCUCAAACUGCUCCUGCUCCAUGAGCACUGAUCCUCUUUGAGCACCCAGCUGUUCCUCAGCUUGCUCAGAUUUUAAUAUAUGAAUAUGCAUGGCUAUGAAGGAAAAGGAGAAAAGCCAUCAUUGAUAUCAGUGGUGCUUCACACGCCUACAAGCAUAAAUAAAGGUUUCAUCACAAAGCAUCACUUUGUCCUGUUCUCACUUUUUCAUACAUGAUUUUUUUCUCUCUGCUCUUUCAGUUUUAGAGAGUUGGUGUGAGGUAGAUCUCCGGGCACUGCAAACAGGGUCUGGGAGGGCACUUCUCUGUCCCAGCCCUGUAUGUUUCCAUUGCUGUGCUCUCAGCACGAGUGGGAGAAAGAUCUAAUGGGGUCCUCUGCAGAAACCAGCAAUGUUAUACAAGAUCUAAUGGAGAGCAAUAAAAAUUUAAUUCCCAGGCACUUCAAGACUACACAAGAAUUUGGGUAUCGCACAUCUGUGUUUUACUUAGGAACUUUUAUGAUUUUAUUUUUAUUUUAUUUUUAAAUCACUGUGGAAGUGUUGCUACAAUAAAGGGUUUGGGGAACUCAUCUCUGUUUAUGACUCCAUGUAGCUGGAGGUACUAAAAGAGCCCGUCUGGAGAAAGCUUUGAACAAUCAGGGCCUCAGCUGCCUCUCUUUUUCUAAAAAGUCCUGAACUUGCAGGCUUCCAAAAGGAAAAUGUGCUUUGCAGGGUGUUGUCUUUUGGUACAGUGAUGAUCAAACCAGAGGCUGGUGUGGGAGUAAAAAAUUAAAAGCUUCUCUGUCUACCUUUAUCUUUGCUCAUUUCU